UUUUAUAUAGUUUAAAGUAAAACCUUAUAUUUUCAAUAUAAAAAUAAAUGAUUUUUAUAAUAU
rnacentral:tRNA from 1 species